CCCCAGACUCCUACGGGAGGCAGCAGUAGGGAAUUUUGCGCAAUGGGGGAAACCCUGACGCAGCAACACCGCGUGAAUGUUAAGCCCUUCGGGGUGUAAAGUUCUGUCAAUAGGGACGAAUUUUGACUGUACCUAUAAAGGAAGCACCGGCUAACUCCGUGCCAGCAGCCGCGGUAAUACGGGGGGUGCAAGCGUUGUCCGGAAUCAUUGGGCGUAAAGCGUUCGUAGGCGGUAUGUCAAGUCUGAUGUUAAAGCCCGGGGCUCAACUCCGGUUCGGCAUUGGAUACUGGCAAACUAGAAUGUGGUAGAGGUAAAGGGAAUUCCUGGUGUAGCGGUGAAAUGCGUAGAUAUCGAGAGGAACACUCGUGGCGAAGGCGGGUUCCUGGACAUUAACUGACGCUGAGGCACGAAGGCCAGGGGAGCGAAAGGGAUUAGAUACCCCAGUA
rnacentral:rRNA from 1 species